ACAUAGAUAGAUACAUAGAUAGAUAGAUGAUAGCAAAGAAAGGUAACAUAGGCCAUACACUCAACAAGAGUCAGGGAAGGUAGGUAUUAACACAACUCACAGGUGGGAGAAAUGACUGUGGAUUAGCAAGGUCCAAGAAGGCUUCAGAAGGAAGAUUUGGACUUCAGCAGGGCCUGAAGAAUGGGUAGCACUUACAUAAGCAGAGAGGAGAAAGGAAGGCAUUGCAGGCAGGAGGCAUGCUUGUAACCAAAGGCCUGAGAUUGCCAAUGGUUUUUUGGGGGAGGAAACAGAGUGAACAGAGUAUGAUAAGAGAUAAGGCUGAAAGGUAGGUUGUGUUCUAAGGCAAAAUGGCAUGCAGUCAGUGUGCCCGUCAAGCCCUGCAGGUUGUCUAUAGCCAGGCCCACUCUGAUUGGCCAAUACAUGAGCCACUUCAGGUAUUAAAUACUAUCACCCCUGGGGGUAAGGUUGUCUGGGCACAGAGGCCAGAGCAAGCUCAGUAUAGGGAAUGCCAAGUUAAGGAGUUCAGAUCUCUAUCUUGUCAACAUUAGGGAGCCAGUUAAGGGUAUUUAAACAGAUGACUAACAUGCUAAAAGUGAGUAUAAUGAGAUUAUUGAGCAGUGGGAUGCAGAAUGCAUGGGGGAAAAGUGGCCACAGGGUGGAAAAUUAAUUAGGGGGCUGUUAUGGUAGUUCAGGGUGAAGUAAUAAUAGCCUAGAAGAAGGUGGUGACAAUAGAAAGAGAAAACAGGCCCUGAAUGUGCAGGAAUCAUCUAGUAAAAGUUCCACUUCUUUCUUUCUGCAGGCCCAAGCCUUGCACAGUGCCCAACACUAAGUAAACACAUGUGUUUAUCAACUAUAAGGAACUAUGGAAACAUUGUCAGGGAUACAAAGAGCACGAAAACAACUUUGGGAUCCUGACCAGAAUGAAGAGAAGAGAAGAGAAGAGGUCUCAGAUUGCAUGCUUGGUAGUAAGGGGAGAAUCCUAAUGAUGAGCAGCAUGUGAUCAAGCGAUUCCUUUUCCUUCAAGCUGAGGUUGAAGUUCAGUAGCGAAGGAAGAAGGAACAGGCAGCUACAGCCCUCUGGUCAGCAGCACCAACUUUCUCACGGAGUUAAAUUAGUUUGGGUUAUGGAGAGCCUGAAUCUUUAGCCCAGGAGAGGUGAAAGUGAAUGAGGGAGAGGAAGGCGGUGAGAGACAAAUGGCAAAGGUAAAAGUGGGCUGGGUGCAGUGGCUCACAACUGUAAUCCCAGCACUUUGGGAGGCUGAGGCAGGAGGAUCAAGCGCUUGAGCCUAGGAGUUUGAGACCAGCUUGGGCAAUAUGGUGAGACCUCUUCUCAACAAAAUAUUUAAAAAUUAACUGGGCAUGGAGGUGCAUGCCUGUAGUUCUAGCUACUUGGGAGGCUGAGAUGGAAAAAUCACUUAAGCCUGGGAGGUGGAGACUACAAUGAACUGUGAUGGUGCCACUGGACUCCAGCCUGAGCAAUAGAGGGAGACCCUGUCUCAAAAAUAUACAUAUUUUUUUAUUUUUAAAAAAGGUAAAAGUGUAUCAAAGCAGUCUGCCUUCACUCUGAUACUGAGAUUAUCAACCAGUGCUCUGCAGACCUUCCAUGAAAACUACUGUUAAAGAUGCAGAUUGUUAGGCCUCAUCUCAAACCUACUGAAUCAUGGUCUCUAGGGGGACAGCCUGGGACUGUGCAUCUUUCAUGGGUACACCCAGCAAUUCUGAUACACUCGAAAGCAAGUUUGUCUAACCUGUGACCCGCAGGCUGCAUAUAGCCAAGGACAGCUUUGAAUGCAGCCCAACGCAAAUUUGUGAACUUUCUUAAAACAUUAUGAGUUUUUUUGUGGUAUUUCUUUAAGCUCAUCAGCUAUCGUUAGUGUUAGUAUAUUUCAUGUGUGGCCCUUCUUCCAAUGUGGCCCAGGGAAGCCAAAAGAUUGGACACUUGGGCUCUAAAGAUUGAGGAUCACUGCUCUAGUGUUGGCCAACUACUCUAGUGUUGGCCUGCAGACUCAAUACAGCCUUUGAGCUAAAAACGGUUUUUACAUUUUUAAAGGGUUGUAAAAAAAGACAAAAAGAAAGACAGACAAGGAAAGACACAGAAGAAUAUACAACAUAGCCUACAAAGCAUUUACUAUCUGGUCUUUUACAAAAGAGUUUUCUGACCCCUUUCUAGUGCACUGCAAAUGAAAGGCUGUACCCAAAUUUAGCUCCAGUGCAGCCCUGCCACAGCUGAAAUAACUGAUGUAGCAAGCAGAUCUUAAAAAAAAAAGUGAUGAAAUGUGUAAAGUUGUCAUCUAAAAAUACUUUUGUAAUAAUUAUAAAUGGAGAGAGAAAAUGUAUAAAUACAAACAUUCUGUAAUGAGUUUAAAAAUAUAGUUUCAUCCAUACAAGAAUUUUGAUAACUCCAUUUGAUUCUGUUUUUCCAUAAGCUUAUCAGAUAGCAAUAUAUCCAACAUUAGCCUAAUAAAAUUACUGCAUGUGAAUUCUUUAUUGGACUAUGCAUAUUCCCAAACAUAUUAUUGUCAUACAACUGAGGGAAAAAUGUAAAACUAUAUCUGGGAAAUGAAAAAUUAUAAAUUCUCAAAAUGAUACAUAGGAAAAUGAUUUACAAAGAAAAAAAGGAAAACUGAACUUAGUAUCUUUCUACUUUAAAGGGGUUCAAGAACUUAGGAGUAGUUACACACCUCCUAAAAUCUUGAAAAAGAGGCUAUGAACUCACUUCACAAAGGGUUCAGAUACUCACAUUGUGUCCAAGAGACUCAGCAAUUGGGAAUCUUGCCAGUUAGAUUCAUAAAGCAAUCCGAAAGCCAGAAUGCAAUUUCUUUAGGGGUGGUUUCUAGAUGUUUAUUCUAGAUAUUUUUAAAAGAUUUUGUUUAUUUUUGAUGUGAAGAAAGAAAAUUAUUAUAGAAUCUAGAAAUAAAUAUUGGCUUUAAAAGUAUUAAUUUGCCUUGUCCUUUGUAAUUGUGAUCCGAAAUAUCUCACAAUAAUUUUGUUUCAGUGUUAUUUUCUUCUCAGGAGGAAAG
rnacentral:lncRNA from 1 species